rnacentral:rRNA from 1 species
CCUACGGGUGGCAGCAGUGAGGAAUAUUGGUCAAUGGUCGGGAGUCUGAACCAGCCAUGCCGCGUGCAGGAAGACGGCUCUAUGAGUCGUAAACCGCUUUUGUACGAGGGUAAAUUGUGAUACGUGUACUGGGUUGAAAGUAUCGUAUGAAUAAGGAUCGGCUAACUCCGUGCCAGCAGCCGCGGUAAUACGGAGGAUUCAAGCGUUAUCCGGAUUUAUUGGGUUUAAAGGGUGCGUAGGCGGUUCGAUAAGUUAGCGGUGAAAGUCCGGGGCUCAACUCCGGCACUGCCGCUGAUACUGGCGGGCUAGAGUUUAGUUGCGGUAGGCGGAAUGUGUGGUGUAGCGGUGAAAUGCAUAGAGAUCACGCAGAACUCCGAUUGCGAAGGCAGCAUACCAACGCACAACUGACGCUCAUGCACGAAAGCGUGGGUAUCGAACAGGAUUAGAUACCCUUGUAGUC